GACUGGAUAGCCUAGUGGUCAAAGGCAGCACUUCCAGCAAUGAUGUGGUCCCAGGCUCAAAUCUUGGUCUAGUCA
rnacentral:tRNA from 1 species